AAUAACGCGCGCGGUAUGGCCAAGGAAGAGAAACGCGAGUGACUGUCGUGGCUCUCGCCGGACACGAACGGCGCUUGCGCCGGGCUGGUCUGCUUAUAGCUGUUGCUACUCCAGACUCGACGACAAGUGCUAUCCUCAUGAGGCCAGACAAGUCGUUGUGCCAAUCCAGCGAGAGUGUCCAACAGCGGAAAGUCAUCUGAAGAAUCAUGUCCCAGUGAGUAGUCCAGCUCCAGCAACAAGACCACAUCUGGUUUCCACCAAGAAGCUGGACCAGCGGCAUUGUACUCAGGUUUGGACGCACGGUGUGGUAUAUAUAUGUCAAGUUUAGCCGUAUGCAAUAAUGCAAUGCUUAUGGUUUGCUUAUGGUUGAUAAUUCUACAAAUUUAAUUAGUGGGCAGGAAUAACUGGUCAGGCUUUCGUAACUUCUAUUUCUAUUACUG